UACGGAGGGGGCUAGCGUUGUUCAGAUUUACUGGGCGUAAAGGGCGCGUAGGCGGACCAUCAAGUCAGGGGUGAAAGGCCUGGGCUCAACCCGGGAAUUGCCUUUGAAACUGAAGGACUAGAGUCCGAGAGAGGUUAGCGGAAUUCCCAGUGUAGAGGUGAAAUUCGUAGAUAUUGGGAAGAACACCAGUGGCGAAGGCGGCUAACUGGCUCGGUACUGACGCUGAGGCGCGAAAGCUAGGGGAGCGAACGCG
rnacentral:rRNA from 1 species